rnacentral:rRNA from 1 species
CACGUAGGGUGCGAGCGUUGUCCGGAAUUAUUGGGCGUAAAGAGCUCGUAGGCGGUGUGUCGCGUCGGCCGUGAAAACCUGCAGCUUAACUGUGGGCGUGCGGUCGAUACGGGCAUCACUGGAGUUCGGCAGGGGAGACUGGAAUUCCUGGUGUAGCGGUGGAAUGCGCAGAUAUCAGGAGGAACACCGGUGGCGAAGGCGGGUCUCUGGGCAGUAACUGACGCUGAGAAGCGAAAGCGUGGGGAGCGAACAGG